rnacentral:rRNA from 1 species
AUACGAAGGGUGCAAGCGUUACUCGGAAUUACUGGGCGUAAAGCGUGCGUAGGUGGUUGUUUAAGUCUGUCGUGAACGCCCUGGGCUCAACCUGGGAAUGGCGAUGGAAACUGGGCGACUAGAGUGUGGCAGAGGGUAGUGGAAUUCCUGGUGUAGCAGUGAAAUGCGUAGAGAUCAGGAGGAACAUCCGUGGCGAAGGCGACUGCCUGGGCCAACACUGACACUGAGGCACGAAAGCGUGGGGAGCAAACAGGAUUAGAUACCCUGGUAGUCCACGCCCUAAACGAUGCGAACUGGAUGUUGGGUGCAAUUUGGCACGCAGUAUCGAAGCUAACGCGUUAAGUUCGCCGCCUGGGUAGUACGGUCGCAAGACUGAAACUCAAAUGAAUUGACGGGG